rnacentral:rRNA from 1 species
GAGUUUGAUCCUGGCUCAGGAUGAACGCUGGCGGCGUGCCUAACACAUGCAAGUCGAGCGAGAUACUGUUGAACAGAGAUUCGACAACGGGAUACAGUGGAAAGCGGCGGACGGGUGAGUAACGCGUAGGCAACCUGCCCCUUACACAGGGAUAGCCAUUGGAAACGAUGAUUAAAACCUGAUGACACCUUAGGAUGACAUCUUCCUCAGGUCAAAGAUUUAUCGGUAAGGGAUGGGCCUGCGUCUGAUUAGAUAGUUGGUGAGGUAACGGCCCACCAAGUCAACGAUCAGUAGCCGACCUGAGAGGGUGAUCGGCCACAUUGGAACUGAGACACGGUCCAAACUCCUACGGGAGGCAGCAGUGGGGAAUAUUGCACAAUGGGGGAAACCCUGAUGCAGCAACGCCGCGUGAAGGAAGAAGGUCUUCGGAUCGUAAACUUCUGUCCUAGAGGAAGAUAAUGACGGUACUCUUGGAGGAAGCCCCGGCUAACUACGUGCCAGCAGCCGCGGUAAUACGUAGGGGGCAAGCGUUAUCCGGAAUUAUUGGGCGUAAAGAGUGCGUAGGUGGUUACCUAAGCAGGGGGUGAAAGGCACUGGCUUAACCAAUGUCAGCCCCCUGAACUGGGCUACUUGAGUGCAGGAGAGGAAAGUGGAAUUCCUAGUGUAGCGGUGAAAUGCGUAGAUAUUAGGAGGAACACCAGUGGCGAAGGCGACAUUCUGGACUGUUACUGACACUGAGGCACGAAAGUGUGGGGAGCAAACAGGAUUAGAUACCCUGGUAGUCCACACCGUAAACGAUGAGCACUAGGUGUCGGGGGAGCAAUUUCUCGGUGCCGCAGUUAACGCAUUAAGUGCUCCGCCUGGGGAGUACGUACGCAAGUAUGAAACUCAAAGGAAUUGACGGGGACCCGCACAAGCAGCGGAGCAUGUGGUUUAAUUCGAAGCAACGCGAAGAACCUUACCAGGUCUUGACAUCCCUCUGAAACUCCUGAUAACGAUGGAGCCUCCUUCGGGACAGAGGAGACAGGUGGUGCAUGGUUGUCGUCAGCUCGUGUCGUGAGAUGUUGGGUUAAGUCCCGCAACGAGCGCAACCCUUGCCGAUAGUUGCCAUCAUUAAGUUGGGCACUCUAUCGGGACUGCCGGGGACAACUCGGAGGAAGGUGGGGAUGACGUCAAAUCAUCAUGCCCCUUAUGAUCUGGGCUACACACGUGCUACAAUGGUCGGUACAAAAGGCAGCAAUCCCGUGAGGGGGAGCAAAUCCCAAAAACCGAUCCCAGUUCGGACUGUAGGCUGCAACUCGCCUACACGAAGUCGGAGUUGCUAGUAAUCGUGGAUCAGAAUGCCACGGUGAAUGMGWWMMMGGGUCUUGUACACACCGCCCGUCACACCACGGAAGUUGGGGGUGCCCGAAGUUGGCAGGCAAAUAUGUUACCUAAGGCAAAACCGAUGACUGGGGUGAAGUCGUAACAAGGUAGCCGUUCGAGAACGAGCGGCUGGAUCACCUCCUUAAR